GCCUCAGUAACGGCGAGUGAAGCGGCAACAGCUCAAAUUUGAAAUCUGGCUCCCUCGGUGCCCGAGUUGUAAUUUGUAGAGGGUGCUUCGGCGUCGGCCCGGGCCUAAGUUCCUUGGAACAGGACGUCACAGAGGGUGAGAAUCCCGUACGUGGCCCCCGGCCUUCACCAAGUGAGGCCCCUUCGACGAGUCGAGUUGUUUGGGAAUGCAGCUCUAAAUGGGAGGUAAAUUUCUUCUAAAGCUAAAUACCGGCCAGAGACCGAUAGCGCACAAGUAGAGUGAUCGAAAGAUGAAAAGCACUUUGGAAAGAGAGUCAAAAAGCACGUGAAAUUGUUGAAAGGGAAGCGCUUGCAGCCAGACUUGCCCGCAGUUGCUCACCCAGGCUUACGCCUGGUGCACUCUUCUGCGGGCAGGCCAGCAUCGGUUCGGGCGGUCGGAUAAAGGCCCCGGGAAUGUGGCCCCUCUCGGGGGGUGUUAUAGCCCGGGGUGCAAUGCGGCCAGCCCGGACCGAGGACCGCGCUCCGGCUAGGAUGCUGGCGUAAUGGCCGCAAGCGGCCCGUCUUGAAACACGGACCAAGGAGUCUAACAUCUAUGCGAGUGUUUGGGUGUCAAGCCCGGGCGCGCAAUGAAAGUGAACGGAGGUGGGAACCCCUCGGGGUGCACCAUCGACCGAUCCUGAUGUCUUCGGAAGGAUUUGAGUAAGAGCAUAGCUGUUGGGACCCGAAAGAUGGUGAACUAUGCCUGAAUAGGGUGAAGCCAGAGGAAACUCUGGUGGAGGCUCGCAGCGGUUCUGACGUGCAAAUCGAUCGUCAAAUUUGGGCAUAGGGGCGAAAGACUAAUCG
rnacentral:rRNA from 1 species